rnacentral:sRNA from 1 species
UUAUAUUCUCCACAGGGGGGGAUGAGAACCCCCGACCGGGGUUCGACAACUGGCGCAGCCAGUUGGACAGACCGCGCACGCAGUAAGCGGGCUGCCCCGCAGGGGCGAGCUAAGCGAGUCAAUCCCCCCCCACCGCCA